UAAAUUUUACUUGUUUAAAUAUUGGUAUUGCAUACUAUUACAAUAAAAUUUCAUGUGAAUGAAAAAUAGAAACAAAGGGUAGAGUAAAUAUUAGUUUUAUUGUUUCAUACUAAAAAUUAUAUUUAUUAGAGUUGAUAUGUCGACCUUUGUGAUAACUGUUUUUAUUCUUAUAUUAGAAAAUUAUAUAUUAUAUAAUUAUUUUAGGAAAUUUAAAAUUUGAAGUGUUUUAAAUUUAUGUUUUACAACAUUUUCCUAAUUUUAUUUAAGUUUAAUUUUUAAUUUAAUAAAGUUUUAUUAAAUAAAUAAUUUGUAAAUUAGUAAAUUUUAUAAAUUUAANUUAUUAUUAAAAUAUAAUUGAAGAACUUGAAGUCUUGAUCAAAUGUUUUUUAAAGACUUAGGCUUUACAUUAAAGCUGGCUUCUGCCCUAUGAUAUUUAAAUGGCAGUCUUAGCGUGAGGACAUUAAGGUAGCAAAAUAAUUUGUGCUUUUAUUGAGUUCCAGUAUGAAUGAAGUUAUUGGUUAGUUCUAUUUAUGUUUUAUGUUUGAAUUUAAUUUUUAUUUAAGAAAAAAUAAAUAUAUUUAUACAAAGAUAAGUCUUCGGAAAUUCUGUUAUUACACAAUUAAAUAAUUGUGUAAUAAAUUUUCUAGGGCAGAAUAUUAUAUAAUAGUANUUCACUAUAUUUAAUUUAAAGAAUUACUCCGGA
rnacentral:rRNA from 1 species